GGCGUCUGCUUUUAACCUGUGGGAGAACCCGGCGAGCUAAGCCAAACGGAGGGCGGGAGAGAGGAAGCGGCAGCUGGCGCCUCUCGGCAACUCUAACCCUCUGAUAGAGAUCGCCAAGGAAACAUUUGGAAACCCCUUGGAGGAGAUCUGCCACAUGGCCUCCAGUGAACUGUAGACUCCUGCAUAGCCUUCCAAAGUUCUUCAUUUGGUGAAUAUUAUGAGAAAUGACACGUAUGACUUUCUCCCAAAUACGUGGCUUAAACCCAAAGUACAGUGAAAUCAGAACUGACCACACAGAGUAAUUGGGGCAAGGGAGUUAUUUGUGACACAAAGCCCUCAUCACUUUAUAAAAGUACUUGCUAC
rnacentral:lncRNA from 1 species